AACGAACGCUGGCGGCAUGCCUAACACAUGCAAGUCGAACGAGACCUUCGGGUCUAGUGGCGCACGGGUGCGUAACGCGUGGGAACCUGCCCUUAGGUUCGGAAUAACUCCCCGAAAGGGGUGCUAAUACCGGAUAAUGUCUUCGGACCAAAGAUUUAUCGCCUUUGGAUGGGCCCGCGUUGGAUUAGCUAGUUGGUAGGGUAAAAGCCUACCAAGGCGACGAUCCAUAGCUGGUCUGAGAGGAUGAGCAGCCACACUGGGACUGAGACACGGCCCAGACUCCUACGGGAGGCAGCAGUGGGGAAUAUAGGAAAAUGGGCGAAGGCAUGAACCAGCAAGGCCGCGUGAGUGAUGAAGGCCGUAGGGUUGUAAAGCUCUUUUACACGGGAGGAUAAUGACAGUACCGGGAGAAUAAGCUCCGGCUAACUACGUG
rnacentral:rRNA from 1 species